rnacentral:lncRNA from 13 species
UAUAGAUGAUACUGUGCUAAUAUUUAUCUUUUCAUCUUUCCAUAUGUGGAAGUCGUCUCUACUGAGACUGAAAUUCAGCCAUACUUGGCACAUUUUUAUCUGUGCUUGCUGGAAGCACGUUUGCACAAACACUGAGGAAUGUCCUGGGAGAAGGAGCUAGGUUAGAUAAGCUCUCAGCAGAGGGCCUUGCCUGCCAGGGGAGCCGAGCCAGCAUGUGCCAUGGUUUCAGUCACCUAGAGCUGUCUCCCAGACCUAAUGGAACAUAUCUGAGUUUUGUGGAGAACAGAGGAACUCUACAAUUUUAAGGGAAGUUAGGAGUAAGAAGAGAGAGAAAGAACUCUGAAAGACUACCUCAUGUUGCAAGAUGGAGAAUUAUUUAGGACUGAAGAGCUGGGAGUACUGAUGUCCAUUUUGAGGGAGGAGACUAAAAGAAUAAUUUCUUUGACAAAGUCUCUCUCUGUCACCAGGCUGGAGUGCAGUGGCAUGUUCUCAGCUCACUGCAACAUAUGCCUCCCAGGUUCAAGCUAUUCUCCUGCCUCAGCCUCCCGAGUAGCUGGGACUACAGAUACUUCUUCCCUAGACCAUGUUCCCAGGCUCAGUGUGAAGCUGAACACUCUGCACAAUCCCCCUGCCAUGACAGCGAGCUAUGAAGUUCAUUACACAUUCAGGGAGCAGACAGUACAGCUCUGCUUCCCUUUCUGA